rnacentral:misc_RNA from 1 species
UGUGGGAGCUGGCUUGCCUGCGAUGACGGCGUGUCAGUCACUGCAUCUAUGACUGCACGACCGCUUUCGCAGGCAAGCCAGCUCCCACA